CCAAUAGCGUAUAUUAAAGUUGUUGCAGUUAAAAAGCUCGUAGUUGAACCUUAGGCCCGUGCGGGCGGUCCGUCCUCUGGGCGAGCACUGCCUCGUCGCGGGUCUCACCUUCUGGCGAGCGUGGAUGCCAUUCACUUGGUGUCUGCGGGAACCAGGACCUUUACCUUGAAAAAAUUAGAGUGCUCAAAGCGGGCUCUUACGCUUGAAUACAUUAGCAUGGAAUAAUGAAAUAGGACGACUAUUCUAUUUUGUUGGUUUCCGGGACGGUCGUAAUGAUUAAUAGGGAUAGUUGGGGGCAUUCGUAUUCAAUUGUCAGAGGUGAAAUUCUUGGAUUUAUUGAAGACGGACUACUGCGAAAGCAUUUGCCAAGGAUGUUUUCAUUAAUCAAGAACGAAAGUUGGGGGAUCGAAGACGAUCAGAUACCGUCGUAGUCUCAACCAUAAACUAUGCCGACUGGGAAUCGGGCGAUGUUAUUUUUCGUGACUCGCUCGGCGCCCCGAG
rnacentral:rRNA from 1 species